CAAACCCUUUCCAGCCACCGCCAUCAGUGUUGCCUCCGAUUCUUCCAACGCCUCCUCGGCCUUCAUUUUUGCCUCCAAUUCUUCCAACGCCUCCUCGGCCUUCAUUUUUGCCUCCAAUUCUUCCAACACGUCCGCCUUCAUUUUUGCCUCCAAUUCUUCCAACACCUCGUAGUGCUUCUCAUAAAUCCGGGCCCUGAGUCGAACUUACCUCCGGUUCUUGAUCAGCUGUGUAAAGUUAUAUCUAUCUAUCUAUCUAUCUAUCUAUCCAGUCAUAUGUUUUCACUGUCACGUCUUUUUUCCUAGUUAAUAAAGAGAGAAGCUGCAACAUACAGACACCCCGAUGCACUAGUGAUGUAAGAUGAUAUCUAAAGAAAGCGAAAACAAACUGGAUUCUGGCGUAAUAACUAAUAAAAAUUAGCUAGAUUGCCACCUGG
rnacentral:lncRNA from 1 species